rnacentral:rRNA from 1 species
UGCAAGUCGAACGAGUUCUGAUUAUUGAAAGGUGCUUGCAUCUUGAUUUAAUUUUGAACGAGUGGCGGACGGGUGAGUAACACGUGGGUAACCUGCCCUUAAGUGGGGGAUAACAUUUGGAAACAGAUGCUAAUACCGCAUAAAUCCAAGAACCGCAUGGUUCUUGGCUGAAAGAUGGCGUAAGCUAUCGCUUUUGGAUGGACCCGCGGCGUAUUAGCUAGUUGGUGAGGUAACGGCUCACCAAGGCAAUGAUACGUAGCCGAACUGAGAGGUUGAUCGGCCACAUUGGGACUGAGACACGGCCCAAACUCCUACGGGAGGCAGCAGUAGGGAAUCUUCCACAAUGGACGCAAGUCUGAUGGAGCAACGCCGCGUGAGUGAAGAAGGCUUUCGGGUCGUAAAACUCUGUUGUUGGAGAAGAAUGGUCGGCAGAGUAACUGUUGUCGGCGUGACGGUAUCCAACCAGAAAGCCACGGCUAACUACGUGCCAGCAGCCGCGGUAAUACGUAGGUGGCAAGCGUUAUCCGGAUUUAUUGGGCGUAAAGCGAGCGCAGGCGGUUUUUUAAGUCUGAUGUGAAAGCCCUCGGCUUAACCGAGGAAGUGCAUCGGAAACUGGAAACUUGAGUGCAGAAGAGGACAGUGGAACUCCAUGUGUAGCGGUGAAAUGCGUAGAUAUAUGGAAGAACACCAGUGGCGAAGGCGGCUGUCUGGUCUGUAACUGACGCUGAGGCUCGAAAGCAUGGGUAGCGAACAGGAUUAGAUACCCUGGUAGUCCAUGCCGUAAACGAUGAAUGCUAGGUGUUGGAGGGUUUCCGCCCUUCAGUGCCGCAGCUAACGCAUUAAGCAUUCCGCCUGGGGAGUACGACCGCAAGGUUGAAACUCAAAGGAAUUGACGGGGGCCCGCACAAGCGGUGGAGCAUGUGGUUUAAUUCGAAGCAACGCGAAGAACCUUACCAGGUCUUGACAUCUUUUGAUCACCUGAGAGAUCAGGUUUCCCCUUCGGGGGCAAAAUGACAGGUGGUGCAUGGUUGUCGUCAGCUCGUGUCGUGAGAUGUUGGGUUAAGUCCCGCAACGAGCGCAACCCUUAUGACUAGUUGCCAGCAUUUAGUUGGGCACUCUAGUAAGACUGCCGGUGACAAACCGGAGGAAGGUGGGGAUGACGUCAAAUCAUCAUGCCCCUUAUGACCUGGGCUACACACGUGCUACAAUGGAUGGUACAACGAGUUGCGAGACCGCGAGGUCAAGCUAAUCUCUUAAAGCCAUUCUCAGUUCGGACUGUAGGCUGCAACUCGCCUACACGAAGUCGGAAUCGCUAGUAAUCGCGGAUCAGCACGCCGCGGUGAAUACGUUCCCGGGCCUUGUACACACCGCCCGUCACACCAUGAGAGUUUGUAACACCCGAAGCCGGUGGCGUAACCCUUUUA